UAUAAUGGCCCUUUUAUCUGUAUAGUCCAUUCCCCUUCUCUACAGGAAUAAAAAUUCUCCAGAUAACGCCUUAUAUCCACAGCUUUGCAUGCGUGUGUGCGAGAAGUCACUAAGGCUGAAAUUUAAUGAUUUUUUCAAGGGCCUUCCAAAAUAGCUAAGGCACUGAAUGGGAGAAGAGUGCAAAAAGCUUGGCAGAUGGACCCAGCCGUCAAAUGCCAUGUUCACCUAAAGCACAACAUGGACGGAGAUGGACUCGGGACAAAGGGUAGUCAGAGGAGUGAAGAGGGUCAGUAAAGAAGAUGAGAAGGCAGAAACAGCAAGAUUUGCUUCAGAAGGGACAGCAUCCUGCGUCUGGAGUCUCCUCAUGUAGUGCCAGGCAAAGAGAAGUAAAGAGCAGUUUGGAAAUGGAAAGACAGUCCUUCUCUUCGCUUCCCCACCCUGCCAAGACAGGAGCAAUGUCCACCCAUCAUGGGUCACCCAUCCCCCUUGGCUCGAUGGCGCAGAUGGGGAGGACACAGUGGGUGCACACAGAGCUGGCAGUCAGAGAUCCAUCUGGAUUUGGGUCAAGAGGAUCUUCUGGGUGCAAAAUUAUAGGGUGCAAUGUGCUGGAGAGAACUGAAGAACAAGUGUAUUUGUAUCAGUAUGAUGUGAAGAGCAUUUCAAAUGGACCAAUGCUGUUAACCUAUCUGAGACAAGGUCCCACAAGCUGGAACUCUGAAAGCCAUGCUGAUCUCUGUACUCUGGGUAAGACAUUUUCAAACCUAAAAACACAUUUCAAGUGUGUAAAAACUGAGCUUCUGUUGCCUUGCAGCUGGCACAUCCUGGUUCAUCACGUUACUGGGUCAGACUUUGAGUGUAAGUUGACAGGCUAGACUAUACUAGUCCCCAACUGGAGCAUGGCUUGAAAUGUCUCAGAAUGUCCUGGUAUGGCUGGGUUGGGCUGAGUUACACUAGCCUCAGUCCAAAUGAGCUACACUUACAUGGACUGAGUGCAAUCUGAAUGCAUGUUUGAGAUGGUAGCUUGUGAUAGGCAUGCUCUGGAUAGGCUAGACUUGACUGGGCUAGCUUCUUUAGAUUGUGUUGAAUUCAGAGCUGAAAAUGUGGCUGGUUUGGACUGAGUUAAGAUUAUUUACAGUGGAUGGGAUUGGGCUGGUGGGAAGAGUUUGGUGGGACCUGCCUGCUGAAAUGGGGUGAAUGACUUCAUUGCGGCUUCUUUAAAAGCCUUGUUUCACUUACACCAGAACUUGUUGCCCCCAUUUGCUGGACCAGCUUUCCAUGAGUAGGAAAAAGGUUAUUCAGCAAGUGCUGAAAUGAGGUCCCCAAAAAGCUGAUAAAAAACUUCAGUUCCUCAGUGUCCAGCUGCUCCAGGCCAUCUUCUCCCACAACCUUGCAUGUUCAUGAGUUGUUCAUGCCAGAAUAUCUGUAUCUCAUUCCUGAUCUGGUCCACCAGGUCAAAUCUGUUCAUCAUUCAACAUCCUAUCCUUACAAAGGAAAAUCCUCGUGUUUGAGAAAUUCCCCAAUCAGGGAUAACUACCAGUGCUUGAAGUGAGGAAAUGGGACCUGAAAACCCCGCACACGACUUCUUUUUUAAUGACUAGGGCUCCUUCAUGGCACAAAAUUUCAUGCAGUCUAAUGUGGGUGUGUGUAAUGCAUUGCCACAGUGUUACUUAUUGAGGGAAUAGAAUACUUAACCUGGACACAGGAUUAAGCCCCAAAUAAUGAAAAAUUCAGACUUUCCAAAUAAAUGAUGUCUCAAUACAAAAGACUGUACCUGGAUGAUCUGGCAAGUCAGUCUAGGUGACAGUGCUGCCAAAUCCCUUCCCUCACCACUGUUCUGGCUCUACUUUAAAAACAAAACAAAACAAAACAAACCAGGAAGAAAUGUGUAGUGAUGGGUAGGAGAUGGCGUUGUCUCGGGGAGAAGCACAGCCCUGUCUCCUUGUGCAGCUAGCAGAGAGCGGAGCAGGAGCGCGGAGGGUAGCACAGCGCUGUACAGCUGCAGGGCUGCUCACAACAGGGCAGAGCUCCCGGAGAAUGUGCUCUUUGUUCCCUGCCUUUAAAGGGUAAGAGAAACACUUAUGCAUGGCAAAUUAGCCCAAAAAUGUAUUUCUCUAAAACACCCGAUUGUCUGGCCAGCUCUGCAGCUGCAGGGAAGUUCCAGGGAGAGAAGGGGGAGGCGGCGGGAAGGAGAAAGAGGGAGGCAGGGAAGGAUGAUUUUGAUGGCUGGGGGGAGGCAAGAGGAUUGUGCGAAUGGGGGAGAAAUUCUCAUGCCUCGAUUCAAACAGACCUGGCCAGUGGGCGAGGGGACCCCUGGCGGGAGGGCCGCAUUGGUGGCCAGGGGACCACGGAUGCUGUGCAAUCUCCUGGGGGAGUAAGGAGAAGAGGGGACAGGAGACAGCUGUGCUUCGGGCAGCACGGGAGCAGGUGCUGGUGCAGUUGGCAGUGCCGGGGAGUUCUGCUGCCCAGCAGGUUCAGCUGGGCCAUCUGGGUUGGGACACUCCGCCAGCAGUGCCAUGCUCCUCCAGUCACCGUGUCGCGUGUCCCGGGGGCGACGGGCUGUGCCUCCUCUCCUGCUCCUGAGCAAAGUGUGUGACUCUCUGCAGAGGUGCAGGGCCUGUGCUGCUCCCAGGAGGUGGCAUUUGGGUUUAAAAUGUCCCAAAUGCACCUCUUGAUUAGGAACUCGAUCCAGGCUUGUUGUGAAUUUCCAGCUUAAUGCUGAUACUCAUUUAAGAACUCCCAGUCCACUGCUGGCAGACAAGUGCUUCCUUGAACUUCCCUGGGAUCUGGAAAGCAAAACCUAAUGGUAAGAUUAUUGACAGCUGCUCAGACUGUCAAGUUCACGGUGAGUACCAGAGUCUUGUCCCAAGGGAUGCCACUGAAAGCAGCAGAGUCAGGCCCCCAAGAGCACAGCUGAGACCUCAGUGUCCAAGGAACGUCUCCCAUGCUGUCUGGGAUAAGAUGUCCUCUUCAUGUGCAUGAUGAUAAUUUAUUUUCUCUUCCAUUUUCUCUUCCUCUUCUCCUCCAUGUGGAAGGAGAGGUGCUCCCUGCUGCAAAAUACAGUGCUGUGCAUGCACAGCUUUGAGGCAACCUGGCUGGUCCUCAUUACAACCCACCGAAUGCUCUUGGGGAUAUCUGUGGUGAGAUCCAGAUGCUGCUCUCAGGGACAGCAGCUCAAGCUACUCUUUGCUUUAAGGACACACAGGGAUGCACUUGUGUGUUAUAAAUCCAGGUCCCAGCGCUCUGUCCUUUCUGUGAUGUGACAUGACCUACUCUGGGCAGACAAGAGCAUCUCCUUCAAAGCCACCAGUGCCACCUGCUGCGAGGGCUGAUGAGACUGGUAGGCAGACUUAGGUUAGGCAAAGCUUAGACUGCCCACAAGAAAGAAGAAGGACAUGAGAGUCUCAGAAGGGGAUUUGGCUUUGAUAUAUUCCUGUGACUGUCCAGCUCAGGUGUAGGGUUGAUGUUGCUACUGGUUCCACUUGGCACAGGCAAGCUGUACUUUGUUUCCAGGUUGCUGCUAAACUAAUUUUGUGACCGGAUUUUUCCAAGCAAAACCCUAUAACUCUUCAGGUUCAUAACCCAGAAGUCCUAUGAAGUCCCUUCUCACUGGACUGGAGGAAGGGAAGGACAGGUAGACCUGGAUGAUUUAACUGAACAAGUAGUUAUACCAACUGGUGACAGGAGUUAUCCAUUCCUUCUUUUCAGAGGUUACGUGAAUAUGCUUAGGAUGACACUGGGUAUAGAGGUACCUGCUAGAUAUGUAGCAUUAUCUGACUGGGGAAAGCCAGAAUUAGGUUUGAGAAUUUUCCAUCGUGGAGACGCUGAUCUGGCUUGUAUUGGAGAAGGAGUGUGAUGGGCAGAGGAGAAGCUGGGGAGCUGAACCACUCUUGAAAGUGGGGUUGGGAAGCUGUUGACAGCUGUAUAAUCCUGUUGUCACUAUCUGGCUCAUCUCUAUGUGGCCAGUGGGAUGGCUGACUCAUUUUAUGUUUACAUGGGACAAGAGGGUAUCGAAAAAUGUUAGCUUUCAUCAAGUCAGCAAUAGUUCUCAGCUUUGACACACUUAAUUUUCCACUCAGGUGAAAAAGGGUCUCACCGCGUGCAUUGCCGUGCGUGGCUGCAAUACUGGAGAGUGUGUCCCAUCCCCUCCUCUCCACUUCUCCUACACACUCCAGUGCUUUGUGGAGACCCUGAGACCUCUCAGGGAUGGCAAGGAUGUGGCAUCAUCUGAGGGUAGGAAAGACUGGUACUAGGGAAGCAUUUAUUGGUAAAUAAUUUGCCAAGAAAUGGGACUUAGGGGAAGGAAACCAGUUGCAGAUCCAGACCUAAUUCAACAAGAAAUUCUGGCUGGAAAGUGAGUGUGGGAGGGGGAUUUUUAAAAUAUCAAAAACAUUUCAUUUCAAUGCAGUCUUCCUGAAUUAUUCUGUUUUCUAGAUGCCAAAAUGUUGCAAAUGGACAUUUUCAAAGGAAUUUCUGACAUUUCAUUUCAAACCAGCAUUUUGCAUUUAAAACUUGACCCAGGUUGAAAGAUGAGAGGUCAGGCACAAGAGCCUAAUAACCACAAAAUAAAGCCUGCUAUUUCAAGUUCAGCAGAAUGUUUUAAUCUCUGAAUUAUACCAUUUGGAGAAAAAAAAGAAAUCACAGCAGAGCACCUGUGCAUGUCCAGAUCAAUGUGCCCCUAUGCGACACCUCUGAGGUAAUGGAGACACUGGAGCAGAAACGGCUGGUGUGGUUGGGAAAAGAACAGCUAUAUGGUGGGCUGAGAUGAACUAGAAAAUGCCCUUGAACAUCCCAUACUCACUCUUCUCUCAAUAAAUCUCACUUUGAUCUCAACAAGGCAAUUUAUGGUGGCACGUGCACCCCUUAGGAUGCUUGCUUCAGUCCAGCUCCAUUGGUAGCUAAGGCAGAGCAAUGAUGAACAAAGUCCCUGUGGCCCUGGUGUUUUAUUCACAUCAUCAUCUAGCUUUGGGUAAAGCGGCAACCAAAGUGCCAUCAUUUCCCAGCACUGUCCUGCCGAUCCCUAUGAAAACCAGAGGAGCUCUCCACAGGCAGUCAGCAGCUCCAGGGGGAAAAAUGCUCGUGUAAGUAAGGUCCAGGCACAAGAAAAUCUCUGCUAAUUUAGGAAGGGACCCUGUUGCUUCUCAUAAUGAGGGAGCAGGUUGGGGAAAAAUGACCAAGAGGGAUGAAUCAUAGAAGCAUAGCAUACCAGAUUGGAAGGGACCACAGGGAUCAUCUGGUCCACCGCCAGUGCUUUGAGAAGGUGUUGUGCCCCCCAACUGCCUCUUCUGUACAAAGGCAGGUUCAGACUUGAUGGAUGUGAAGAAUUGCCCUCCUCUCCCUUCCCCACCAGCCCCAGCCCUUCACUCCUGCCACCCCAUCCUCUCCACCAUGGGCACAUGGUCCCCACUGGUCAUUAAUAGAGUUGGCACGGGUGGGCCCAGCCUGACUGAGCCACUGGGGCUCACGACUCUGGACCUGAAUAAGCAGCAUAAAGGCACAGAGGCCCCGUCGCGGCUCCGUCCCGACCCAUCCUCCCCAGCUGCGACAGCAUCCGCUGUGGGCCCAGACCGGCCAUUCUUACCAAGUCCUUCUAUGUGGUUUGUCUUUCUCUCCCUCUCUUGUCUCCCCCUGCCUUUUUUUUUUUUAAUCCCCUUUUUUCGAACAUA